GUGGGUAACACUAAGCAUUGUAUAGUGUCUGUGUGUAACACUGAGCAUGGUAUAGUGUGUGUGUCUGUGUAACACUAAGCAUUGUAUAGCAUGUGUCUGCGUGUAACACUAAGCAUUGUAUAGUGUGUGUCUGUGUGUAACACUAAGCAUUGUAUAGUGUCUGUGUGUAACACUGAGCAUUGUAUAGUGUGUGUGUCUGUGUAACACUAAGCAUUUCAGAGUGUGUGUGUCUGUGUGUAACACUAAGCAUUGUAUAGUGUGUGUGUCUGUGUAACACUAAGCAUUGCAGAGUGUGUG